CUGAAAGCUCCUCCAUUAUGCGUUCUGAAGAGAGUGGACAAACUACAACAGUGAAGACAGAGGAAACGACCGGUGCUCUGAUUCAGCUCCAGCUAAACAGAGCUGGAGGACACUGCCAUCAUGAGUGUGAAAAAAUGCGAGGAUAAACCUCAAGCUGGACCUGCAGAAGAAGCUUAAAAUCAAAGCCCCAACAUCACCAAGGAAGAACGUGGUUCUGCGAAUUUACCAGAUGCUGCAUUUCUGUAUUUACAAUGCACAUACACGUCAUGGAAGUUAUAGUGUCCUUUAAGUUGUCUUUUUUUCCUUUAGAAAAUCCACUAGAGGGCGCAAGAAUACCAUCAGUCAUACAGUAGAAAUGCAAAUAUUGUUUUGUUUUAUCUGAGCAAAUGCCACCUUGUGAACAAGAGUACAAAGUCUCUAUUGCAGUGUUAUUUGGUUUAAUUAUCAACAUCCAUACAAGCAAGAUUCUUACUAUAAUAUAAUCUAAGUAGAUAAACAGCAUCAUUGUUUUGUGGCAGCAGACUUUCUGCCGAGUGAAAAAUUAAAUAUUGGCAUUUUUUAUCCAUGUACAUUAAGGAAAAAUGUGUA